rnacentral:rRNA from 1 species
CUACGGGUGGCUGCAGUGAGGAAUUUUGCGCAAUGGGGGCAACCCUGACGCAGCAACGCCGCGUGAGUGAAGAAGGCCUUUGGGUCGUAAAGCUCUGUCAAUGGGGAAGAAGUUACUUGGUAUUAAUAGUGCCUUGUAUUGACGGUACCCAUGAAGGAAGCACCGGCUAACUCCGUGCCAGCAGCCGCGGUAAUACGGGGGGUGCAAGCGUUAUUCGGAAUUAUUGGGCGUAAAGGGCACGCAGGCGGUCCUGUCAGGCAGUUGUGAAAGCCCAGGGCUCAACCCUGGACGUGCAUUCGAAACAGCAGGACUAGAGUACGGGAGAGGAAAGGGGAAUUCCUGGUGUAGAGGUGAAAUUCGUAGAUAUCAGGAGGAACACCGGUGGCGAAGGCGCCUUUCCGGACCGAUAUUGACGCUGAGGUGCGAAGGUGUGGGUAGCGAACGGGAUUAGAUACCCUCGUAGUC